AAGAUGACUGAUGAGCGCCCUGUUGUACAGCAGGCUCAUGAGAUACAGUCGCUCGCAAAAGAACUUGAGUACUUCAAGUGUGUGUUGCCGGACAAAUUUGUUGCCGGAGGCAUCAUUGCCAAGCUUCCACCUUCGUGGAACAAUUUUGCUACUUCCCUGAAACACAAGAGACAGGAGUUUUCCGUUGCAGAUCUCAUUGGUAAUCUUGAUGUUGAAGAGAAGGCGAGAGCAAAGGACACACGUGCUCGAGUUGCUGAGGGAGGUUCUAGUGCCCACAUGGUACAGAAGAAGAACUCCCAGCCCAACAAGUUCAAAAACAAUAAGAACAAAACUCAGGGCAAAGGCAAGUUUGAUACAAAGAACAAGCCAUCACAUUCUACCAACUUCAAGAAGAAUUCUCAUAAGAAGGGGAAGGGACUUUGCCAUGUCUGCGGUGAUCCUAAUCACUGGGCUCCGAAGUGUCCUAACCGCUUUGAGGAGCGCGAACAUGAGAAGAGCGGCAAGUCUGCUAAUGUUGUCAUCGGUGAUAUUGAUAUGAAGGAAUCAGGGUACGGUAUUUUUCCUACCAUCCUUUCAGUAUUUCAAUCCCCUGAUUGGUUAAUUGACACCGGUGCCAAUGUACAUGUUUGUGCUGACGCCUCCAUGUUUUCUUCUUACCAGGCAACAGGGACUUCACCUGUGCUGAUGGGGAACGGGUCACAUGCCAUCGUUCUAGGUGUUGGUACGGUCGAUCUGAAGUUUACUUCGGGGAAGACUGUGCGUCUGAAGAACGUUCAUCAUGUGCCGUCCAUCAAUAAAAAUCUCAUUAGCGGUUCCCGUUUAUGUCGAGAUGGUUUUAAGUUGGUUUUCGAAUCCAAUAAAGUUGUAAUCUCUAAGUGUGGACAAUUUUUUGGAAAAGGCUAUGAGUGCGGAGGCUUGUUCCGCCUAUCUUUGUUAGAUAUUUGCACUAAAGUUAUUAAUAAUGUUUGCCACAAUAAUGAGUCUGAUAUUUGGCAUUCACGACUCUGUCAUAUUAACUUUGGUUGCAUGACGCGGUUAGCCAAUAUGAAUUUAAUUCCG
rnacentral:rRNA from 1 species